UGGGGAAUAUUGGACAAUGGGGGCAACCCUGAUCCAGCCAUGCCGCGUGAGUGAAGAAGGCCUUAGGGUUGUAAAGCUCUUUCGCUAGGGAAGAUAAUGACGGUACCUAGUAAAGAAGCCCCGGCUAACUUCGUGCCAGCAGCCGCGGUAAUACGAAGGGGGCUAGCGUUGUUCGGAAUUACUGGGCGUAAAGCGCGCGUAGGCGGAUAGAUCAGUCAGGGGUGAAAUCCCGGGGCUCAACCCCGGAACUGCCUUUGAUACUGUCUAUCUAGAGAUCGAGAGAGGUGAGUGGAAUUCCGAGUGUAGAGGUGAAAUUCGUAGAUAUUCGGAGGAACACCAGUGGCGAAGGCGGCUCACUGGCUCGAUACUGACGCUGAGGUGCGAAAGCGUGGGGAGCAAACAGGAUUAGAUACCCCUGUAGUCC
rnacentral:rRNA from 1 species